UCUCUGAUAGUAUAUCGGUUAGUACACGCGCCUGUCAUGUCGGGUGUCAAUUUGUUACGCGCGAAAGCUGGGUUCGACUCCCAGUCAGAGAG